rnacentral:rRNA from 1 species
CCUACGGGAGGCAGCAGUCGGGAAUAUUGCGCAAUGGAGGAAACUCUGACGCAGUGACGCCGCGUGCAGGAAGAAGGUUUUCGGAUUGUAAACUGCUUUAGACAGGGAAGAAACAAGACAGUACCUGUAAAAUAAGCUCCGGCUAACUACGUGCCAGCAGCCGCGGUAAUACGGAGGGAGCAAGCGUUAUCCGGAUUGAUUGGGUGUAAAGGGUGCGUAGACGGGAAGUCAAGUAGGUUGUGAAAUCCCUCGGCUUAACAGGCGGACUGAACAUGAAACUAACUGUCUUGAGUGAUGGAGGGGAAAGUGGAAUUCCUGGUGUAGCAGUGAAAUGCGUAGAUAUUGAGAGGAACACUCGUGGCGAAGGCGAGUUCCUGGACAUUAACUGACGCUGAGGCACGAAGGUGAGGGGAGCGAAAGGGAUUAGAUACCCCGGUAGUC